rnacentral:rRNA from 1 species
CAAACGACUCUCGGCAACGGAUAUCUCGGCUCUUGCAUCGAUGAAGAACGUAGCGAAAUGCGAUACUUGGUGUGAAUUGCAGAAUCCCGUGAACCAUCGAGUUUUUGAACGCAAGUUGCGCCCGAUGCCGCUAGNNUGAGGGCACGUCUGCCUGGGCGUCACGC